UUGAGGCCAUAUCACGUUGAAACAUCAGUUCUCGUUCGAUCACCGAAGUUAAGCAACGUCGAGCAUGGUCAGUGCCUAGAUGGUGAUAUCUUGGAAAUACCAAGUGCUGUAA